rnacentral:lncRNA from 1 species
UUGAACUCUCUACUGUAUGCUGUCUGUCUAACUGGAUAGCUCCAGCCAGUUUCACGUUCAGUUGGGACAGAACAGUAAAAAGGCAUAUAAUUCAGCAGACGUCACCAAACGAAGACAUUAACUGCAUGCGUCAUGUCUGAGCCACCAAAUCUUGAAUCCCACAUGCAGCAGAUACAGCGCACUGAAGUAGAUAUUCAUUCAGAGUUUCUUGAAACAAGAUCAUGUUGUUCUAGCUCAUCAAAACAGUCAAGUCGGUCAUCAGCAAGCGUUGCAGCACUUAGAGCACGUGCAAAGGCAGAGGCUGCACAAGCGCAGUUGACCUACGCAGAGCAGGAAGCAGAAGCUAUGAAACAACAAGCAGAUAUCCAGGCACAGCUGCAUGUCCUAAAAAUAAAGAAAAUGGCUGCUGCCGCUUCAGCAGAGGCAAAGAUUUUAGAAGCUGCUGUUCAAGAGGAAGAGAUACAAUCCCUAGCAAGUGAACAUCUUUCAGCCACUUCCAUGGACAAAGAGCAAAAUGUCUUGGACUAUGUUGACAGUCAGCUAUAUUCACGAAAAAGUCAAGUAACAAUGCAGCCUGAAGUCAGAGUUAUACAGUCAGCAUCAUGUAACUCUGAGGGGAAUACGAACAUAGUCCCACAGACAGUUCCACACAGUAUGCCCAUCUUGAAGGAAGAAGAUUCAAGUAUGUAUCAAAGACCAAGUGAGAGACAACUUCCUAGCAAUCACCACUCACAGCCUAUUCCAAGAGCAACAAACACAGGUGAUUCAAGUCAAUACAGACCAGUCAUGUCAUCUACGCCAACCCAUCAUGACACAUCUGCUAUAAGUGAUGUAGCAAAAUAUCUGAUGAGACGAGAAUUAGUGUCAGCUUCUUUACAGAAAUUUGAUGAUAAUCCACAGAACUACCGUGCGUGGAAAUCCUCCUUCUUGAAUGUGACCUUAGACUUAUCUUUGUCACCUAGAGAGGAACUUGAUCUUCUCAUCAAAUGGCUCGGUCCACUUUCAGCAGAGCAAGCAAAGAGAGUCAGCUGCGCACAAGUCCACGAUGUCACAGCAGGCCUUACAAAGGUUUGGCAGCGCCUAGAAGAAACAUACGGAGCUCCUGAGGUGAUUGAAUAUGUCCUUUUUAAGAAAAUUGAGGACUUUCCGAGGAUAUCUGCCAGAGAGAAUAGGAAGCUGAGAGAUUUGGGAGACCUCUUGCUUGAAUUGGAAAUUGUUAAAGAAGAAGGACACUCACCUGGUCUUGCCUUCCUAGAUACGGCACGUGGCGUUAAUCCAAUCGUGGAGAAGUUGCCUUAUUCUCUUCAAGACAAAUGGAUCGCAAGGGCAUCAAAAUUCAAAUCUGAUCACAAUGUCACUUUCCCACCCUUUUAUGUCUUUUCUAAAUUCAUACAAGAGCAAGCACAAAUCAGAAAUGAUCCAAGCUUUACCUUUCUGUCAGUGGGUGCUGAAAAAUUGGAGAGAUCUGUGAGGAACAACCAAAGAACACCAAUAUCAGUGAGAAAGACAGAUGUCUCGAAUGAAUCCAUUCAAUAUGAAGAUCCAGACAAACUAUGUCCCCUCCACAAGAAACCACACCCUCUCAGAAAAUGUCGCAGCUUCCGCAGCAAGCCUCUUGAGGAGAGAAAGGCAUACCUGAAAGAGAAGAAUAUCUGUUUCAGGUGUUGUGCAUCCACCAAACACCUAGCUAGAAACUGUCCUGUUAAAAUCACCUGCAAGGAGUGUGAAAGCGACAAGCACAAUUCAGCAUUACAUCCAGGCCCUGCUCCACACAACACUAGACCACCUUCAGAACAUCAUGGCGGGGAGCCUGAAACAUGGACAGCAUUAACUUCAGCAACAGCAAUGUGCACUGAAGUAUGUGGAUACUCACAAAGCUCCAGGUCAUGUGCCAAGAUCUGCCUGGCUAAGGUGUAUCCAUUAGGACAAAUGGAUAAGGCAGUCAAGUUAUAUGCAGCAUUAGAUGAUCAGAGCAAUCGCUCCUUUGCUCGUUCUGAGUUUUUUGACCUCUUUGGUGUUAAAGGAGCGAUAGAACCUUACACGCUCAAGACAUGCUCAGGCAUCAUGGAAAUGGAAGGAAGGCGAGCCAAAGGCUUCAUCAUAGAGUCCAUUGAUGGUAGUGUGAAGGUCCCUCUUCCUCCAUUGCUUGAAUGUGACAUGAUUCCAGAUGACCGGUCCGAGAUACCCUCUCCUGAGGUGGCACAAAACCAUCCUCAUUUACAGGCCAUUGCACACAAAAUCCCACCCAUUGAUGCUAAAGCACAAAUUCUUCUGCUCUUAGGCAGAGACAUGUUGAGGCUGCACAAAGUUAGAGAGCAACGCAAUGGGCCAC